rnacentral:lncRNA from 1 species
UAAUAACAAAUAACACUUUCAUCAACAAUAAAUGAUAUUUUUAUGGGCUAACUGCCUGUAAAUCCAUAAUGUAUUUCGGCUUUUGGAAAUUGCACCUAUUUUCAAAAACUGACUUCAAAAUCCAUAACCUUUUUUUUCAUUUCAAAUUUAUUCAGUGAUCGAUUUUUUCUUACUUCGAUGUCGGAAAUUGACACAGUGGUAGUCAGAAAUGACACGAUGGCCGCCGAAAAUGACACUUGGACACAUUUAUGACAUGUGAAAAAUAUAUAAAAAACAAAAAAACAAAACAAACCCCCCCACCCAUCGUCUACCCCCUUUCCCUUCACCCCCAAACCCUAAUUUCCCCUCUCCAAACUCGUCGUCACCGCCCCCAGCCGCCACUUGCAGCCACACCAGAAACACACAAACACACAGCUUGCACGCUCGAGCAAAAUCGUCG